CCUAUGGUGACAUCCAACUGUAAAUUUUGUUCCCUUUACCUGAGUUACAAAGGGAUUUGUUGUUGUUCUCCCCAGUUUAUGUAUGGAUGCGGUAUAUCAGAAAAGUAAUCCAACACGGCGUCUAUACAAAGGAGCUGCAGCAAGGGAUUCAUUAAUACAGCCUGUCUUCGGGGAAGAAGCCCAGAGACCUUGCCAGCACCUUGCCAAAGAACAGUAGGGUUCCCUCUGGAUAUAUGCCCAGGAGUGGGAUUGCUGGAUCAUAUGAUCCUCUGGCGCCCCAGGAGGACAGAGACGUUGCAGGACUUUGACACCCCGUAUCACGUGGUGUCCUGGGACCCCCUUUCAUGGCAACUUUUCUCAACUGCAGGUCA